rnacentral:lncRNA from 1 species
UCAGAAAAAGGAAUUGCUGAAGUUUUGUUUAUUUUUUAAUUCUCCCAGCUGCUAUAGACAGGUAACAGUUUAAUUUUUCACAGCUGAACAUGAUUUCAUAGCACCCAUUAGUUAUACUACUAUAUAUUAGAAUACUACAAUUCUAAAUUGUCGGGGCCUGACACAACCCCAGUACUAUGGUGCUUAUAAUGUUACUCCUGUGCCCUGCUCUUUAUCACUUGAUAUCGCCCCACUCUUCCCAAGAAGUGCUAAUUUAUUGCUAUCGUCUGGCAUGUGCUGUAAGGGCAGUACUCUAGCAGCAGGUGAACUGAUUCAAGGGUACUAAACAGAAAGUCUGCAGUGACUUUGCCUUGAUUAUAAAGGCAGGAGGUGUAUGGAAGGUAACCUGGUUCCUGUUGUUUUACAUUUAACGUCUUCACUCAGUAACUACAUCCUUAACUCUAAGACGGGAUUUAUGCUUGAAGACAUCAUAUUUGUAUUGAAGGUGGAAAGACUACUCUGCUGAGAUGAGCUCUUAAUUAAUGCAUAGAGAUCCUGAAAGUCCCACCUCUCACCAGUAAUGAUUGACAUCCAAGGAUACGUAAAUUACACUAAUUGAGCUUUCCAUUUCUACAUUUUUCUGCAGCCAACUCAUCAGAAAAGGUAGGUGAACAGACCACUGUAAGGAAAGAUAUUUUGCUGUCAUCUGUAUUUUCCUGAGGGGGAAAACCUUGCAGAGCUAUUGAAUGUUUAUUACAUGGGUGUCAACUCCUCUCUUCAGUGUUUAGAUGUAACAUUUGCUUUACUGUAAAAAUGAGCAUUUUUAAUUCAGUCAUGUACACUUGAGUAAUCACACAGUAUUCACUACUGAAAAGCAAGAAUACCUUAUAAGUCAGCGGGCAACACUUUUGGGGAUCUUAAAUGCGUACUUUAUAAAUCAAAGUUCUUUGGUAUUAAAGCAAGAUAUUUAGCUGCAUAUGACUGGUGUUUUAUCUGUAAAUGUUCAUUUAAUUUUGACCCACACUCUGAAGUAGAGAUUUUAUAGUAUUUAUCGAGCAAUCAUUUAUUUCCAUGUUUCAAUGCAGUACUGUAAUAAUGAACCUUACUUUGCAUUUAAUUUAACCCUGUUAUUCUGGAAUCGGUUAAGAUGAAGUCACUGAGGUUAUUGAAUAAUGACUUCUGAGCUGAAGUCCAUUGAAACAAAAAUGUACUGAUGAGAACAUUUUGGAUGGAAAGGAACCAAUAAAAGGUGCUAGAAUAUAUCA